UGUUCAUUUGGGUGCUGCAGC
rnacentral:siRNA from 1 species